GCCGGGGUAAGCUUGGUGCUACCUCUUUUCUAUUGUUUGUUAUUUUCUUUGAAUAAGAGGAUUGAGAGUUUCUAAAUAUUGUAAAGUGAAUUAUAGAAUAGAAAUGUGAUUGGUAUUAUUUGAGAAGAAGAAAGAUUGAAUGGUGAAAUCUGGUUGUAGUUCUGUAGAGAGAAUGAGUCUGUAUUUGUAUGAAACACCGUAAUGUGAAUGGCAGUUCUAUGUAAAGAAUUUCAGUGAUUGGAAUGAGGGUAAUUGUGUGCUGAAAGCUGUAAGGGCUUAGUAUUACAAUUGGAGAUUAUGAGGGUGAAUAUAUUGGUGGAAAUAGUAGUUAUUGAUAUGACUGAAUUGCUCUGAGGAAGAGACCGAUAA
rnacentral:lncRNA from 1 species